CUAAUACAUGCAAGUCGUACGCAAUUGAUCCACCGAGUGCUUGCACUCACCGGAUCGUUGAGUGGCGCACGGGUGAGUAACACGUGGGUAACCUGCCCACCAGAGGGGGAUAACAGUCGGAAACGAUUGCUAAUACCGCAUAGGUUGAACGACCGCAUGGUCGCUCAAGAAAAGACGGCUUUGGCUGUCACUGGUGGAUGGACCCGCGGCGUAUUAGUUAGUUGGUGAGGUAACGGCUCACCAAGACAAUGAUACGUAGCCGACCUGAGAGGGUGAUCGGCCACAUUGGGACUGAGACACGGCCCAAACUCCUACGGGAGGCAGCAGUAGGGAAUCUUCCGCAAUGGACGAAAGUCUGACGGAGCAACGCCGCGUGAGUGAAGAAGGUUUUCGGAUCGUAAAACUCUGUUGKUAGAGAAGAACAUGUCUGAGAGUAACUGUUCAGGCAAUGACGGUAUCUAACCAGAAAGCCACGGCUAACUACGUGCCAGCAGCCGCAGUAAUACGUAGGUGGCAAGCGUUGUCCGGAUUUAUUGGGCGUAAAGCGAGCGCAGGCGGUUUCUUAAGUCUGAUGUGAAAGCCCACGGCUUAACCGUGGAGGGUCAUUGGAAACUGGGAAACUUGAGUGCAGAAGAGGAGAGUGGAAUUCCAUGUGUAGCGGUGAAAUGCGUAGAUAUAUGGAGGAACACCAGUGGCGAAGGCGACUCUCUGGUCUGUAACUGACCUGASCUCGAAAGCGUGGG
rnacentral:rRNA from 1 species